ensembl:lncRNA
GGCUGCUGGACUGUCCCCCAGGAGGACGUCCCAUGUAGGGCGGCCUGGGUUGGAGGGGAGCAUAGGCAUGCAGGAGGGGCCAUCUGAUCAAGGCCUGGGGCUGCCCGAAGAUCGGGGAGUGGGGACACCUGCCCAUGGAGAGUGCAGCAGGGGGAGCAGUGGCCCCAGGAAGCCUGGUCACCCUGGAUGAGCCACGCGGUCUGUGGGCCAUUGUUACGGCAGCCCUGGAAACUGCUACAAUCUCCAGUCUCCAAGACAACUGCCGACUGAAGACAGUGAAGAACGGAACGGUCAGGACCCGGGCCAGGCUUUGCCCCGGGGGAGAGGACGUUCCCACGUGCUGGGACUUGCCUGAAACGCCCCGGGAGGGACGCACAGCCAGGAAGAGGCAGGAGCCAGGUCUUCCUCCUCACUGCACAGCCUGGGUUCCGCUUGCAUUUUUUACUUUUUACCACGUUAAUAAGGAAAUAAAUAAAAUUCAGAUCAGGGAGAAAACAAAAUGUCAAAAGACCCAUGUAAACCCGACACCUCUCCUAACCCUCCUCUCACCUGACUUGCUGUUUAACCAUCGGCCACAAGGGUGGGAGCGGGGACCCUGCCUUUAGCAUCUGCCUGGUCUCUUUCAGAGGAAAGAAAAAUGAGAGGCAGG